rnacentral:lncRNA from 1 species
GUAAUUGCAAACUGCACCAGUGACAAGGAAUGUCUCGCACCAAAGUACAUAAAAACAUAAAGUGUUUAUGUUGCAGUGACAGUGCUGAGAUUUUGUAAACAGAUUGGAACAGGUUUAUUUUUUAUUUGCCUUCACAUUUCUAAAGUGCUUUUCUAGUGCAAAGUGACAAAAAUCUCCCACUUAGCUAAAUUUAAGUGGAAUUUCCAGCAUGCAUCCAUAACCCUCCCUUUGCAGACAGACGGACAAAUGACCACGGGUCUGAUGUUCUCUUCAGCAGCAGACCUGGAGAAGGGAAAUUAGAAAGCUGUGUGUAAGGCAAGAAAAGUUUUUGCAGAAGGAACAGAGCUUCUUUCUGGAAUUCAGUGUGAAAAGUGACAGUUGGUGGAAUGUUUCUGUGGAAGUGCCAUGUGGUAACAAGAGUGGCAGCUCUGCUUUCUGUCCCUGCCUUGGUGACAAUAAAAAGUGUGCAACCCACUCUUCCUCAAACACAUAACAUAAAAAUGUCUCUAAUUCAUUUAAAAUGGUGAUUUAAACUAAAUCCUGACAGAAUUUGGGGCCAGAUAAAAAAAAACAGAUACAAGUUUUGGCAGCUAUAAAGGCAAAAGAUGAAAAAAUAAUUCAUUAGCAUGGCAAAAGGGAAAGAAAGGAGACAUCUUUAAAAGAGAACACUCAGCUCCUGAUAGUAAAGUAUGAUUUUAUCCUUGUGGAUUCUUUCCAUAUCAGGAGAUUCUAGGAUGUAAUAUUCAAUUAAAACAUUCUUACUGUGGCAACAGUGAACACACAGCCUGUGGUGGCUGGGGAAGGCAUCAGGGCACAAGGGAACACUUCAUGCUCUGGAGCCCUAGACCAGCAUCCAGCAACUGCAGACCAGGCAGCAAGGUGUGAAGAUGAUGCAAAUCCAUCACUCCAUUUGGGCAUGGCAUGGUGACAUGGAUGCACCAAGUGUUUUCUUACAGUUGCUUUUCCGGAGAAGCUGACAGGAGAUCAGCAAACUGUCCACGCUGGAGAAAUGGAUCCAGGCCCAACUCUUUCCCCUCUCUCUCAUUACAUUGGAGUCAACAGCAAGACUAAAGCUGGAGCACUUCCAGAGACAUUGUCUGAUAACCUGUGAACUUUUGGACAUCAA